UUGUUCAACUGUUGUAAGUCGCUCUGGAUAAGAGCGUCUGCUAAAUGACGUAAA
rfam:Salmo salar isolate Sally breed double haploid chromosome ssa01, whole genome shotgun sequence.